GGCGAACGCUGGCGGCGUGCUUAACACAUGCAAGUCGAGCGAGGCCCACCUUUCGGGGUGGUGUCCUAGCGGCGAACGGGUGAGUAACACGUGGGCAACCUGCCCUCAGCUCUGGGAUAACUCCAAGAAAUUGGGGGCUAAUACCGGAUAUGACUGCUGACCGCAUGGUCUGGUGGUGGAAAGAUUUAUCGGCUGGGGAUGGGCCCGCGGCCUAUCAGCUUGUUGGUGGGGUAGNGGCCUACCAAGGCGACGACGGGUAGCCGGCCUGAGAGGGUGACCGGCCACACUGGGACUGAGACACGGCCCAGACUCCUACGGGAGGCAGCAGGUGGGGAAUAUUGCGCGAAUGGGCGAAAGCCUGACGCAGCGACGCCGCGUGGGGAUGACGGCCUGGU
rnacentral:rRNA from 1 species